AUCAUACUCCCUCCGUCCGGAAAUACUUAUCCUAAAAAUACAUAUAAUGGAUGUAUCUAUAAUUAAAAUAAGUCUAGAUGCAUUCAUCUCUAGGACAAGUAUUUGUAGACGGAGGUAGUAGUUG
rfam:Hordeum vulgare subsp. vulgare, WGS project CAJW01000000 data, contig: morex_contig_47680